rnacentral:rRNA from 1 species
AUUGAACGCUGGCGGCAGGCCUAACACAUGCAAGUCGAACGAGUGGCGGACGGGUGAGUAAUGUCUGGGAAACUGCCCGAUGGAGGGGGAUAACUACUGGAAACGGUAGCUAAUACCGCAUACCAUCGGAUGUGCCCAGAUGGGAUUAGCUAGUAGGUGUGGUAAUGGCUCACCUAGGAGACGAUCCCUAGCUGGUCUGAGAGGUGGACCAGCCACACUGGAACGGAGACACGCUCCAGACCCCUACGGAAGGCAGAAGUUGGGAAUAUUGCACAAUGGGCGGAAGCCUGAUGAAGCCAUGCCGCGUGUAUGAAGAAGGCCUGCGGGUUGUAAAGUACUUUCGGCGGUGAGGCGUUACCCGCAGAAGAAGCACCGGCUAACUCCGUGCCAGCACCGCGGUAAUAC